rnacentral:rRNA from 1 species
GAAAGGAAAUAUUCGGUAAAAGAUGGGCCCGCAUCUGAUUAGCUAGUUGGUGAGAUAACAGCCCACCAAGGCGACGAUCAGUAGCCGACCUGAGAGGGUGACCGGCCACAUUGGGACUGAGACACGGCCCAAACUCCUACGGGAGGCAGCAGUGGGGAAUAUUGCACAAUGGGGGGAACCCUGAUGCAGCAACGCCGCGUGAAGGAAGACGGUUUUCGGAUUGUAAACUUCUAUCAAUAGGGAAGAAAGAAAUGACGGUACCUAAAUAAGAAGCCCCGGCUAACUACGUGCCAGCAGCCGCGGUAAUACGUAGGGGGCAAGCGUUAUCCGGAAUUACUGGGUGUAAAGGGAGAGUAGGCGGCAAGGUAAGCGAUAUGUGAAAGCCUUAGGCUUAACCUGAGGAUUGCAUAACGAACUAUCUAGCUAGAGUACAGGAGAGGAAAGCGGAAUUCCUAGUGUAGCGGUGAAAUGCGUAGAUAUUAGGAAGAACACCAGUGGCGAAGGCGGCUUUCUGGACUGAAACUGACGCUGAGGCUCGAAAGCGUGGGGAGCGAACAGGAUUAGAUACCCUGGUAGUCCACGCUGUAAACGAUGAGUGCUAGGUGUCGGGGAGGAAUCCUCG